GUAUACAGUUAAAACGCAGCAUCAGUUACAUUAAAUUUAGAUUUGUGAUUCCAACUGCGAAAUUCUCGCUGUAAAUAGUGCCCAUGGUGGCCGAACACAUGAUGCUCGAGUAUUACGGUCGUCGAGACUCUUUGCUCAUUUAGAACAGAGACACAGACAGGGUGAAAUAGAUAAUUGCUGGCUUCUAGGUGAUUCUGCAUACCCCCUUCUACCUUUUCUAUUGACGCCAAAAUUAAAUGAAGAAGAAGGAACUCCAGGUGCAAGAUACGCAGAUCAUCAUGUUCGGACUCGUGUGGCUAUCGAGCGUUGUUUCGGCAUUUUAAAAGGUCGCUGGCGUUGUUUACGGAAGGAACGAGCUUUACAUUAUCGUCCACAAUUCGCAGCUCUUAUUGUCAAUGCUUGUUGCGUUCUGCAUAAUAUGGCGAUCAAAUGGGGGAUUCCUUGUGAUGAAAUACAUCUGGAUGAAUUAGAUAUAGCACCACCGAUACCAUAUCAUGAUAUUAACGAAGAACGUGGAGAACAAACCCGAAAUCGUGUGAUCCAAUGGUAUUUCACAAAUUGACUCAACUUUUAAGAUUUAACAAUUUUUUACAUGAGUUUUUAAUUGUAUUUUGAAAAUAGCUAUGUUCAACAGACUAAGCAGAUAAGU